rnacentral:rRNA from 1 species
UGAGGAAUAUUGGACAAUGGGUGAGAGCCUGAUCCAGCCAUCCCGCGUGCAGGAAGACGGCCCUAUGGGUUGUAAACUGCUUUUCUACGAGAAUAAACCACCUUACGUGUAGGGUGUUGAAGGUACCGUAGGAAUAAGCACCGGCUAACUCCGUGCCAGCAGCCGCGGUAAUACGGAGGGUGCAAGCGUUAUCCGGAUUUAUUGGGUUUAAAGGGUCCGCAGGCGGACUUGUAAGUCAGAGGUGAAAGCCGGCAGCUCAACUGUCGAACUGCCUUUGAUACUGCAAGUCUUGAGUGAGGUUGAAGUAGCUAGAAUGAGUAGUGUAGCGGUGAAAUGCUUAGAUAUUACUCAGAAUACCGAUUGCGAAGGCAGGUUACUAAGUCUUAACUGACGCUGAGGG